GUCGAGCGGACAGAUGGGAGCUUGCUCCCUGAUGUUAGCGGCGGACGGGUGAGUAACACGUGGGUAACCUGCCUGUAAGACUGGGAUAACUCCGGGAAACCGGGGCUAAUACCGGAUGCUUGAUUGAACCGCAUGGUUCAAUUAUAAAAGGUGGCUUUUAGCUACCACUUACAGAUGGACCCGCGGCGCAUUAGCUAGUUGGUGAGGUAACGGCUCACCAAGGCAACGAUGCGUAGCCGACCUGAGAGGGUGAUCGGCCACACUGGGACUGAGACACGGCCCAGACUCCUACGGGAGGCAGCAGUAGGGAAUCUUCCGCAAUGGACGAAAGUCUGACGGAGCAACGCCGCGUGAGUGAUGAAGGUUUUCGGAUCGUAAAACUCUGUUGUUAGGGAAGAACAAGUACCGUUCGAAUAGGGCGGUACCUUGACGGUACCUAACCAGAAAGCCACGGCUAACUACGUGCCAGCAGCCGCGGUAAUACGUAGGUGGCAAGCGUUGUCCGGAAUUAUUGGGCGUAAAGCGCGCGCAGGCGGUUUCUUAAGUCUGAUGUGAAAGCCCCCGGCUCAACCGGGGAGGGUCAUUGGAAACUGGGGAACUUG
rnacentral:rRNA from 1 species